rnacentral:ncRNA from 1 species
GCCGAGAGGGUGACUAAUACAAUACCCGCAAGGGGAAUAAGUCCACCCUUACUUUUCAGGGCUACGAACCUCUUGGCCGCCCAUU